UACGUAGGGUGCGAGCGUUGCCCGGAUUUAUUGGGCGUAAAGGGCGCGUAGGCGGUCACGCACGUCCGUUGUGAAAUCGCUCGGCUCAACUGGGCGGGGUCAGCGGAUACGGCGUGGCUGGAGCAAGCUAGGGGGCAAUGGAAUUCCCGGUGUAGUGGUGGAAUGCGUAGAUAUCGGGAGGAACACCAGUGGCGAAGGCGGUUGCCUGGAGCUUUGCUGACGCUGAUGCGCGAAAGCCAGGGGAGCGAACGGG
rnacentral:rRNA from 1 species